CUGCUACUGAGGAGUCCCAAACUAGGACGAAACAGCUGUCCAGUAC
rnacentral:hammerhead_ribozyme from 1 species